GAUGAAGAACGUAGCGAAAUGCGAUAAGUAAUGUGAAUUGCAGAAUUCAGUGAAUCAUCGAAUCUUUGAACGCACAUUGCGCCCGCCAGUAUUCUGGCGGGCAUGCCUGUUCGAGCGUCAUUUCAACCAUCAAGCCUCAGGCUUGUGUUGGAGCCCUGCGGCUGCCGCAGCCUCCCAAAACCAGUGGCGGGCUCGCUAUCACACCGAGUGCAGUAGUUUACUCUUCGCUCAGGGCGUGUGGCGGGUGCUAGCCGUGAAACCCCCAACUUAUCAAGGUUGACCUCGGAUCAGGUAGGAAUACCCGCUGAACUUAAGCAUAUCAAUAAGCGGAGGA
rnacentral:misc_RNA from 1 species